AACGAACGCUGGCGGCGUGCUUAACACAUGCAAGUCGAGUGCGCGUACCGUAGCAAUACGGUAUGGCGCACGGCGCACGGGUGCGUAACACGUGGGCAAUCUGCCCUUCGAUGGGGAAUAACUUCGGGAAACCGAAGCUAAUUCCGCAUAACAUUCCUUGGAUUUCGGUUCGAGGACUCAAAGCCGCAAGGCGUCGAAGGAGGAGCCCGCGCCCGAUUAGCUAGUUGGUGAGGUAAUGGCUCACCAAGGCAAUGAUCGGUAGCUGGUCUG
rnacentral:rRNA from 1 species